rnacentral:ncRNA from 1 species
AGGCUGACCCGUGCAGCCGGUUCGCCCUGCUCGCCAGGCAGGCGCGUCGCAAGAGGGAACCCGGUGGGAAUCCGGGACUGCCCCGCAGCGGUGAGCGGGAACGACCGCCGUCAUACGCACUGGAUCCGGCCAUGGGUCCGGGAAGCGACGGCCAGUAGGUGUCUGCCCCGGCAGACGUGCCCGCGAGUCCGAAGACCUGCCCGUUGCCCGUGCGCGAC